CUGACACCUAUGUUCUAAGAAAUUGAACUCUUCAUAAAAUAUGUUUAAUUGAUCAAUAUCAAAUGUUUAUUCUUCAUCUUAACAAGGUAGAAGAUGUAAGGGGUAAUUAAAUUAUGUUAUUUAUAAACUGCUUAAAUUAAAUAUGAAAUAUUUAUUGUUCAAUUUUAUUUCAGGCUGUUGGAGAGAAGCUGAAGGCACAGUGGGAGGAUGGAUUCUUUUACAGAGGCAAAGUCCAAAGUGUUGACGGAAGAGAGGUAACCGUGCUGUUUGAUGAUGGUGAUGUGGGGAAAGCAACAUGUCUGAAGUUCUGCUGAGCCUCAUAGCUGUUUUUCCCAGUCAUCCCAUGGCCAUAUCAUCAUUUCAUGUAUAAAGCAGAUAAUAAAUACUUAUAUUUGUCUUUAUUUUGUUAUGUAUAAAUGAUAUCUGUUACUGUACAAUAAAUAUUUAUGCUUCUUUAUUUUGUUGUUGUUUUCAUUUUAGAGCUUAGUCUUUGGUGAAAAGAGCACUGAGAUACUCUGGUUAUGCAAUUGUAAUUUUAUUGACAUUCGAAAAAAUUAAAACAGCUUACGUACACGUCUUAUCCAUUAGUGUCAUCGU